GGAUUUCAAGGUCAGUUGGUCAUGUCCACUGUCUGGAACAGCCCCAGCACUGCCAUUAUCUAUCCCCCUGAUGAACCUGUUGGUGGCUGCAGCUACUGGAGAUUGGGAGCUGGGGCAUCCAAGCGGGAUCAAGGGGAGCCAACAGAGACAAAGACCCUCAUUGUUCACAUCUCAGCCUUGGAUUCAUCUUACGCAUCUUUAUUGCUUAUAUUGUUAACAUAAGUAACUAGAGAUAUGGUGUUACUUGAGUCACUAGUGUGUGUUAGCAGGAAACCGGGGGCAUGCUGAUACUUGAAGUUCUUGUAGUUGACCCCUGACUCUGGGGUAAGAGUAAAAUAUUCCUCAAAAACUCUCAUAUAAGUUAGAACAACCAAGUGUAGACUGGAUGGCAUAGCUCUGUGUGGUAGAAGAUUUAGUUCUCUUUUGGUUUUACCAGAAGAUGUCGCAAGAUGGAUAGUAUUAUCUCUGGUAAA